rnacentral:rRNA from 1 species
UACGAAGGGGGCUAGCGUUGUUCGGAAUUACUGGGCGUAAAGCGCGCGUAGGCGGUUUUGCAAGCCAGAGGUGAAAUGCCUGAGCUCAACUUAGGAAUUGCCUUUGGGACUGCGAGGCUUUGAGGACUGGAGAGGUGAGUGGAAUUCCCAGUGUAGAGGUGAAAUUCGUAGAUAUUGGGAAGAACACCAGUGGCGAAGGCGGCUCACUGGCCAGUUUCUGACGCUGCAGCGCGGAAAGCGUGG